rnacentral:miRNA from 12 species
CUCAGGACCUGAUCUGAAGCCCAUUGACGUCAAAGGGAAGAUUCACAGUGCCUUCAAUGGGCUUAGGAUCAAG